rnacentral:rRNA from 1 species
AGUGAACGCUGGCGGUAGGCCUAACACAUGCAAGUCGAACGGCAGCACAGUAAGAGCUUGCUCUUACGGGUGGCGCGUGGCGGACGGGUGAGGAAUACAUCGGAAUCUACUUUUUCGUGGGGGAUAACGUAGGGAAACUUACGCUAAUACCGCAUACGACCUACGGGUGAAAGCAGGGGAUCUUCGGACCUUGCGCGAUUGAAUGAGCCGAUGUCGGAUUAGCUAGUUGGCGGGGUAAAGGCCCACCAAGGCGACGAUCCGUAGCUGGUCUGAGAGGAUGGUCAGCCACAUUGGAACUGAGACGCGGUCCAGACUCCUACGGGAGGGAGCAGUGGGGAAUAUUGGACAAUGGGCGCAAGCCUGAUCCAGCGAUACCGCGUGGGUGAAGAAGGCCUUCGGGUUGUAAAGCCCUUUUGUUGGGAAAGAAAAGCAGCAGGUUAAUACCCCGCUGUUCUGACGGUACCCAAAGAAUAAGCACCGGCUAACUUCGUG